rnacentral:rRNA from 1 species
UAAUCAUACACAUUGACGGUACCUAACAAGCAACCCACGGCUAACUACGUGCCAGCAGCCGCGGUAAUACAUAGGUGGCAAGCGUUGUCCGGAAUUAUUGGGCGUACAGCGCGCGCAGGCGGUUUCUUAACUCCAUCUUAAAAGCGAGGCGCUCAACCCCAUGAGGGGAUGGAAACUGUGAAGCUGGAGUAUCAGAGAGGAAGGUGGAAUUCCUAGUGUAGAGCAGAGAUGCGUAAAGAUAAUGAAGAACACCGGUGGCAAACGCAACUUUCUAGACCAAAACUGACGCUGAGGCGCGAAAGCGUGGGGAGCAAACAGGAUUAGAUACCCUGCUAGUCCACUCCGUAAACGAUGGAUAGUAGGUGUAGGAGGUAUGGACUCGUCCUGUUCCGGAGUUAACGCAAUAAGUAUAGUGCCUGGGAAGUAGGAUAGCAUGAUUAGAAUUCAAAUGAAUUGACGGGGGGCCGCACAAGCGGUGGAGUAUGUGGUUUAAUUUGAUGCGACGCGAAGAGCAUUACCAAGCCUUGACAUUGAUCGCAAUCCAUAGAAAUAUGGAGUUGUUGUUCGGAAGAGGAGAAAACAGCUGGUGCACGACGGUCGUCAUCUGGUGUCGUGAGAUGAUGGGUUAAGUACUGCAACGAGCGCAACCCCUAUUUCAUGUUACCAGCACGUAAAGGUGGGGCCUCAGGAGAGACCGCCGCGGACAACGCGGAGGAAGGCGGGGAUGACGUCAAGUCAUCAUGCCCCUUAUGGUUUGGGGUACCCCCGUAGUUCAAUGGGUGCCAACAAAGAGAAGCGAAAUCGCGAGAUGGAGCGGACCUCAUAAACGCACUCCCAGUUCAGAUUGCAGGCUGCAACUCGCCUGCAUGAAGUAGGAAUCGCUAGUAAUCGCGGGUCAGCAUGUCGCGGUGAAUACGUUCCCGGGCCUUGUACACACCGCCCGUCACACUAUGAGAGUUAGCGACACCCGAAGCCGGUGAGGUAACCGCAAGGGACCAGCCGUCUAAGGUGGAGUUGAUGAUUGGAGUG